rnacentral:lncRNA from 1 species
CAGUGAUAUUCUUCCUCAAUCAUAACAACCUUCCAUCAUUACCGAACUGAACAAAGAAAUAACAUGAUGGGUGCCAUAUACGGUGCAGGAAAUGCUUACCCUUCCGGAGCACCUGAUUUCACUCCUGGUUUUUAGUGGAGUUCGUGUUGUUUCCUACUUAUUAUUUGUAACUGUUGAUGUAAAUGUCUUUUGGUUUUAUGAGUCUUUGGUUACUCCUUGGUUUUGAUUGUUAUUGUCUUAUACACGAUACCUCAUGGAUGUAUUUACAUGAUAUAAGCUUAUUAUUACACUUGCAUAUAUGAAUAACACGUGACAAGGUUUUAUAUGAAAUAAAAUUUAAAAAAUAAAAUCCUCCCA